rnacentral:rRNA from 1 species
GAACGCGAAGAACCUUACCAAAUCUUGACAUCCCGUUGACAGGAGGGUAACGCCUCCCUCUUUUCGGAGCAAUGGAGACAGGUGGUGCAUGGUUGUCGUCAGCUCGUGUCGUGAGAUGUUGGGUUAAGUCCCGCAACGAGCGCAACCCUUAUCUUUAGUAGCCAGCAUGAAAGAUGGGCACUCUAGAGAGACUGCCGGGGAUAACCCGGAGGAAGGUGGGGAUGACGUCAAAUCAUCAUGCCCCUUAUGAUUUGGGCUACACACGUGCUACAAUGGCGUAAACAAAGGGAAGCAGCCCUGUGAAGGUGAGCAAAUCCCAAAAAUAACGUCCCAGUUCGGAUUGUAGUCUGCAACUCGACUACAUGAAGCUGGAAUCGCUAGUAAUCGCGGAUCAGAAUGCCGCGGUGAAUACGUUCCCGGGUCUUGUACACACCGA